rfam:Schistosoma haematobium scaffold303_10, whole genome shotgun sequence.
AGUUUCUGAGUCCGUGCCGAAAUUUCGUCAAACACCGACCCACCAGAGCAGAUGAGAUCUUCAAGAUAAGUGGAGCU